rnacentral:rRNA from 1 species
GUGCCAGCAGCCGCGGUAAUACGUAGGGUGCAAGCGUUAAUCGGAAUUACUGGGCGUAAAGCGUGCGCAGGUGGUUUGACAAGACCGACGUGAAAGCCCCGGGCUCAACCUGGGAACUGCGUUGGUGACUGUCUGACUAGAGUGUGGCAGAGGGGGGUGGAAUUCCGCGUGUAGCAGUGAAAUGCGUAGAGAUGCGGAGGAACACCGAUGGCGAAGGCAGCCCCCUGGGCUAACACUGACACUCAUGCACGAAAGCGUGGGGAGCAAACAGGAUUAGAAACCCCUGUAGUCC